UUGGGCAUCAAAACCUGAUCUCUAUCUAGUUAGUUACCGCCCCUCUCUUGGUCCCUUGUUUAAAUAGGAGAGAGUUUGAUUAUGGUUAGGAGAUAAGAGUCCUAUCCACCUUGGACUCUAGAUUUUUUGUGCCGCCAACACCAAGAUCUUUUGCACCCAGAUUUCACAUGGAAAGGAGGGGAUUAAAAGAGGUUAUUACACGUAGAAG
rnacentral:lncRNA from 1 species